rnacentral:rRNA from 1 species
UACGAAGGGGGCUAGCGUUGCUCGGAAUCACUGGGCGUAAAGCGCACGUAGGCGGCUCUUUAAGUCAGGGGUGAAAUCCUGGAGCUCAACUCCAGAACUGCCCUUGAUACUGAGGAGCUUGAGUCCGGGAGAGGUGAGUGGAACUGCGAGUGUAGAGGUGAAAUUCGUAGAUAUUCGCAAGAACACCAGUGGCGAAGGCGGCUCACUGGCCCGUAACUGACGCUGAGGCACGAAAGCGUGGGGAGCAAACAGG